AAACUACAACUUGGGUUCUCUUUUAAAGUUUUAGAUUUUAGACAUUUUUCAGUUUUGAGCUUUAACAUGUGAUCUUUUCUGGUUCUUUUAGUUCAAGAUUCAAUCUUUAGCAUUUCUUAACUGUUCUUUCUUUACUGGAGAGUCCAACAUUUCCCUUUGAAUUCUUGCUUUUCGCCGGCGAUUUUUCCGGCGACUCCUGCUCUUUUCCUCCUAUUCUCUCU
rnacentral:lncRNA from 1 species